AGCGAACGCUGGCGGCAGGCCUAACACAUGCAAGUCGAACGAACUCUUCGGAGUUAGUGGCGGACGGGUGAGUAACACGUGGGAACGUGCCUUUUGGUUCGGAAUAACUCAGGGAAACUUGUGCUAAUACCGAAUGUGCCCUUCGGGGGAAAGAUUUAUCGCCAUUAGAGCGGCCCGCGUCUGAUUAGCUAGUUGGUGAGGUAACGGCUCACCAAGGCGACGAUCAGUAGCUGGUCUGAGAGGAUGACCAGCCACACUGGGACUGAGACACGGACCAGACUCGUACGGGAGGCAGCAGUGGGGAAUCUUGCGCAAUGGGCGAAAGCCUGACGCAGCCACGCCGCGUGAAUGAUGAAGGUCUUAGGAUUGUAAAAUUCUUUCACCGGGGACGAUAAUGACGGUACCCGGAGAAGAAGCCCCGGCUAACUUCGUG
rnacentral:rRNA from 1 species